CACAAGGUAAUUUUUUAAUCUGAUUUUCUCAAGAUCUGAUAAUGACAUCUCAUAUUAUCUUAAGUAGUUUUAAUGAGAGUUGAUUUUAAUUUAUUGAUUUAUUAAUGAUUUAACAUAAUUACAAUGUAUUUUUAUUUAUUAUGCAAUAAUACCAAGACACUGUCAAAAUGUUGAUUCAUUUUAUACAUUAUAUCCUAUAUCCUAGACCAGUGGUUCUUAACCGGUGGUCCCUGAAGGUAUUCCAAGUGGUCCGCGAAGCCAUCCUAAUAAUGCGUGAGAAUUCAGAAGUUAGUAAAGAGUAUGUAGUCACAAAAAUCAAAUUAAAUUAAAAUCUGUAACUUUUAGAUUGCCAAAUAAAAAGUGAGUGUUAGUUUUACAAUUAUUUAUAAUUGUGCUUGUUUUCUUUAUCAAACCACUUUUAGUUUAGGAAAAUCAACAGGAUGGUCCCGGCAAGACAAUGAUUUGGUUAGAUGGUCCGUCAUGACUAAAAGGUUAAGAACCACUGUCUUAGACCAUUAAAAAAUCCAUGCUAAAGCCGGUAAAAUUAUAUCUCGGGGAAUAAUUACGAAGUCACACUACUGAAACUACGCCUUAUUUUGUAAGACGAGCUAUCGUAGUGUGUAGUUAUUGUAUGUUUGAUGUAUCGCUGGCACACAUGCAUAGCAUGCAUGCCUAGACCGGCCUCAAUUUUUGUUUCACAAAUAUUAUUCGGUCUAUUAAAAAUACGUGAGACUCAAAACUUGAAUAUUAUUGUAAUCAACAAAAAUUACGUGAAACCUACCGUGAAACUCUAAUGUGUGAAUUAUAUUUUGAUGAAAUUUGUAACAAUAUUUUUAAGUCUCGCCUCUAUAGACCAACUAGGCGAUAGUUAAUGACUGACUUUAUGACUUAAUGUAAUAUUAGGGUCAUUUAAAACGGUAUUUUAGAUUAAAUUAAUGUAAAAUAAAUUAACUUUUAAAACAACUGUCAGUAACCAAUGUAUAACUCCCUGUUGGCUGUUUUAUACUUAUUUAUGAAUCAUCAUCAAUUAUCAGAAAAAUUAAUUCAUUGAUAGACCUACGUAAAUUGGUCGGGUUAUGUCAAGCCAAGACUACAGCAUUGAUCAUCCAACCAAAUGAUGUAGCCUGACGCCUAUGAAUAAAUUUAUGUGAUGGUACCUAAUAAUGAAAGUAGGCAAAUUGUAUAAUAAUUUGUUUAAUGUAAAGCUUCAAACAUUGAUGUUUUCAAGUCAUAUCUGGGGCAAUAUGUUUUCUGCUCCCAAUGUCGAGCCUUGUAAAAUAUCAUUUGUAUGUAGUUAUAAAUGUCAAUGUCGACUUUGUAUCUUUGAAAUAGAAUCGAAUUCACAAUACCAUGAACUGAUGCUACGGGUGUGACUACAGUUGCGGCGACUAGUCGCGUUUGAGCAAAAACGAUGAUCCUUUGCGUUGCAGUGCGUACAUUCAUAAAAUAUGUAUGUAUCGACAAUGCGUUGUUUUGACAUCAAAACGCAGACCGUUUUGUAUUGUAUUGACGUGCGUCGCCGCAACGCAGAUUGCUUUCGUUGCACAUCUGCUUAACAACGCACCGCAUCGGAGCAUCGUGGUUUCGCUCUUUGCAGCUUUGGUCGCUCACUGUAUUAGUGAUAAGGGUUAAGAUAUUAUGGUCGCGCGUUAUGUCGCGCGACAUGUCGGAAACGGUUUGCACUUUUUGCAUUACACAUACUGUUAAUAUAAUUGUGUAUAGAUAAAGACUAAAGUAUUUUGUGCAGUUACUGAAUAAGAUUAAUUUAUAGUAAUUUAUUGUAUAAUUUUUGGAAAUUUUGAAUAUUUUGUUUUUUUUGGUGUUCAGUUUGUAAAUGGCCUACGUAGGAACCUAAUUUGUUAAGGCCUAACUUUUAUGAUUGGCUGAUUUUCUAUGACGCAACAAUAAAGGUGUAUGAAGAGA